rnacentral:rRNA from 1 species
UACAGAGGUCUCAAGCGUUGUUCGGAUUCAUUGGGCGUAAAGGGUGCGUAGGUGGCGCCGUAAGUCAGGUGUGAAAUCUCGGGGCUCAACCCCCGAAACUGCACUUGAUACUGCGGUGCUCGAGUACUGGAGAGGAGAUUGGAAUUUACGGUGUAGCAGUGAAAUGCGUAGAUAUCGUAAGGAAGACCAGUGGCGAAGGCGAAUCUCUGGACAGUUACUGACACUGAGGCACGAAGGCCAGGGGAGCAAACGGG